UAUAAGUACAUCUUUAAAGAGAGACGGACACUGCGCUUGCCAUGGGGCUGCCUGGGCCCCUUAACCCUUUCCAGGGCGCGGUGCUGGCGAAGGAGGCACCCAUGAGGGAGUCCUGGUGAUGGGAACAGGGACCCCAUGGAUGUUGGGACACAGAAGACGUGUUGCCUUUCGUCACUGUUUAACGAGGCCCCAGGAACCCCACUGGGACCAAAGGCCCCUCCAAAGGAGGAAAUGGGAUGACAGAGGGACUGCACACAACCACAUGGACAAAAGGAAAAGUUUGAGGAGAAAAAAGUCAUCCCAGCAGCCAGACAUCUUUGGGAAGGCUGGUUUAUUGAGAGAGCCCGAUGGCAGGGUGAGCUGUAAACAAAUACUUCCCUUCUUCUCUCCACCCUGCGAGAUCAGUGUGUUUUUGGACCAAACGCCCUUCACUCUGACAGUGCCAAAAUCCCAAGGAAGGCUUUGUGCCAGAUGAAGAAAGGCAUGGUUGUCAAAAACAGCUCUGGCCCAGAAGUGCCAUGAAGAGCCAAGAGAAGCGCCUCAGUACCACUCGGGGCCAGGGGGUACAGCAAGAGGAAGUGCUACAUCCAUCUACCCUUUCUCCAAAUUUGCAGAAGAAUUACAUCAGCAGCCUUCUCCACCAAUGACAUGUUCUUCAGGAAUUAAAGAACUGUCACUCAAGAAGCAAGGGGGCAAACAGGUUCUUGCAGAGAUCUGACAAAAGAUGAGAGCAGCUGUUUAUCCACUUUAGAGGGUUCUGCUCAUCUCCAGGUCCCUGAAGGACAAAAAGUGAGGUGCCAGCUCCCAGCAGCAGCUGUCCUGCUCCAAGCGGGUGCUGCCCAAGUGAGAGGCACCCCCAUCUUCCUCCCCAGAGGAAGAGGAGGCAGAGCUUUGGGGCCAUGGCCAGGACACCCGGGAAGCAGCUGCUCUCUGGGCAGCCCCACAGACACUUUACAGCUGCUUUCUUCACGGCAUUCCCAAGAAAGUGAUGUGACUCUCCCCAGGCGAUGAGUCCACCUUCUGCAAUACCAGGAUCAAGUUGCACUGCACUGGAACAGCCAAGCUGAAUCAAGUCCUCAGGACUCUCUUUUUCACAGCAAGCGGAAAAAUACAAGCACAUACAUUCAUAAAGCUGCACCAAACUAUUAUGUAAAUGCUACAUGUUGGAGUGGGUAUUUUAGUUUUAUGGUGGGACAGCAGGAAUAAGCUUAUAAAUCUAAGGCCCGGGGUCAAUGCUUAAGCAGAGAUUACCUCUAAGCU